AUGCAUAAAAAAAGUAAGAUAUAAGUAUUAAAAAAAUAUUGCUCAUAACAUCCGUAACUUGCAAACAACAUAUUAAAAUAUGAACAUUCAAAUGUUGUCUCGUGAUGUAAUCACAACCCAUAAAUCUAUGGGGAUCCGACUAUUUUUUUUGGACGAAAAAUUCCAUGCUCCUCCUUCUUGACUCCAAAUCUUAACCCUCCCUUGAUACUGUGUAUCAACAAUGGUGCGCUGAGCUUGUAACAAAGGUUGUUUUACCAGGAUCAUCGACUGUGUCUGAUGGGUAAUCUAAUUUCAAGAAGACUGGUGAUAUUUGUGAAGGCGUUUGUGGAAAGAGUCGAUCAAAAGCUUGCAUGUAUGCCGAUUGGAGAAUGGAGGAGAAAAUGAGGUUGAGAGGGAGUUUGUGUUGGGCAAAGAUGGCCCCUACGUGGAAGUGGCAACAGGCCCUCUUAUUCUAUUGCAGGGGGUACCAACCCGUGAGCUUUCCGAAGGCAGAGUCAUAGGUACACCGCUUCCACAUUUUCUCUUUUCAGCUACUCAUUUUCUAGAUUGAUUGGUUCUAUGAAUUGGGACCCAUUUUAUUUCUAUACCUGGAUGAUUGAUUCGUCUAUUACACGUGCACGCAAAGUCCGACUUUUUAUUAGAGCAUUUCAGUACAAGCCAAAGUUGUUUAAUUAUUUCGAAUUUUAGAAGGGAAAUGUUGAUUGAACAUUAGAAUAAAAAAUCAAAAGAACCAGCUUUCGUGCUCAGAUGCACAUUUUAUGCAUCCUCACUACAUUUAUUGUCACAUCACUGUUGAGCCAUCUCAUCAACUAUCAUGUUUCACUUUAAUUGAGAAAAUGUCUCUUGAAACCAUUGUUCCGCAAUUGGUGAGGCAUCUUAGCAAAGGAUUUGCCAAUUAGAAGGGUCGUUAAUGGAUUGCAAUGUUGUACUUGGUUAUUUUCAUUUUCCUUGCUCUACUAAGGGCAUUAUUUUCCUCCUCUUUCUGUAAGCAUACUGCUCUUGUCCUUUUUUAUGAUCUGAACUGUGUGUUGUAUAAGAUGAGAGUUAGUUCUAUUUUGACUCGUGCAAGUGAGUACCCAAAUUAGUAAAGCAAAAGGAGUCAUUGCAUAACACUUCUUUCCUCCAAGUUUGAGUUCGAAGGUAUAGUUUUGGCAGAGUACUUCAACAUGAUAUUUUGGCAACAGGUAUCUGAUUCAAUGAAUUUUGAUGCACGUAGGGCUUGAUGGUGUUGAGAUGGGUCUCAUUGUACACCAUAAACCUCUUGGGAACAAUCAAAGUUAGUUCAAGCUAAUUUUUCAGGAAGUACAGCAGAGGCAAGUCAGUUCAUAGCUUCCUUGCUGAAAAUUUAAUUUAAAUGGGGUUAACUUACUCAUUUUCCUGAAAAAUACUGUCUUGAAAUUGUUUUCAUUGUUUUUAGUUCUUUCUUAUCACAUUGUACUGACUCAUAUUCACCUCUGGCAUUAUGUUAAUAGUUGUUCUAUUGGAAAUGUAAUAAUUUCUAUUGAAGAUUUUGGUUGAGUGCUGCAGGGUUUUUGAAGUUGUUUCCCUCUUAUUGAAAGGAAAAGAAAGGUUAGAAAUAUGCUUUGAAAGUGUCACCAAGCUAGCUCGGGGAUCGGAGACUGUCAGAGAUCCACUCACACUAUCUACUGAUUAUUUUGGGUACCAAUGAAUUUGACAUUUUGAGUUAUGGCAUGUAUAGGGAUUUGGUCAUUUUGUUAUGUGUCAUAAUUAAUUUUGCCAAAUGUAUUGGCUUUUGUUGGUUUAUAAUUCAUUUUGUAAAUGGCCAUUGAAAUUGGCUAAUAUUGGUUUAAGUAUAUAUGCAUAUGAUGAUGUUUUCAUGGAUGUGGAAAUUUGCAUGAUUUAAGUUGAUAA